rnacentral:rRNA from 1 species
UCUGAUGGCGAGUGGCGAACGGGUGAGUAACAUAUCGGAACGUGCCUAGUAAUGGGGAAUAACGCAGCGAAAGCUGUGCUAAUACCGCAUACGACCUACGGGUGAAAGCAGGGGAUCUUCGGACCUUGCGUUAUUAGAGCGGCCGAUAUCUGAUUAGGUGGUUGGUAGGGUAAAGGCCUACCAAGCCGACGAUCAGUAGCUGGUCUGAGAGGACGAUCAGCCACACUGGAACUGAGACACGGCCCAGACUCC